CUCUACCCUAUAGUUAUAGUUAUAUAGUUAUAAGUCUUAUAACUAUAUAGUUAUAAGACUGCCCUAUAUUUAAAUUUAGUAGGUAGUAAAUUGUCCUGAGCACACAGAAUGGUUCUUUUUGUAAUCAACUCUGAAACAUCAUUGAAAGAGCAAGGAUAUGGGAAUUAGAUUUAUCUGGCUUUUAUUUCUGGUACUUACUUGCUCUCUGACCUUGGGCAACUUAUAUAUUGCUCUGAGUCUCAUCUUCUUCAUCUGUAAAAUGAUCAUAGUAAUACCUAAUUCAUAUGCAGCUGGGAAAUGUGUAAUUUAGUGAUUUAUAUAAAGUUCCUGAUACAAUUUCUGACAAAAUAAUAGACACCCCACGAGAGAUAACCAUUACAAUCAGAGUUUAUCUUCACAUUAACUGGGAUAAAAUUGAUCAGAAAAUACAGCAUUAAAAAAACAGCCAAAAAUUCACAAGCAUAUAUUUCGCUUGCCCUUUUAUACAGAGCUGGAAAAUUUCUCAUCAUUAUCUCAUCCAUUGCCUGCAGCACGAUCCUUCCAAAACUCCUCCUAAGACCGUCUGCCAAGAGAAGAAUGGCACGGACAAAAUGGCAAAACAGAACUUUUCAGCACUUAUUCCUUCACAGAAACAUCAAUUUGAACAGCCAUUCAUGCAUCAAAGUGUCUUCAAAAGAGACAAGGAAUCCAGGUGAGAGGUUAUAGCACGUUUGUGGAGUAGAAAAGUAAGAAAAACUGCAUAAAAUAGAGUAUAAAAGAGAGUUUUCUAUUAUCUGCAUUACCCCGCCCCUAAACCUGGGUGGUGCAGCAUGGAAAGAGAUACUAUGUAUGUGCAGAGAGGAGAGUAAAUGUAACACCUGACUUCAACAUCAACUCCAAUGCCAGGCACAAUUCAGUGAACUCAACACCAGGCAGGUUCCUAUAGCCACAGGCUAUGGGACAGACCCUGUGAACCCAAGCUCCUGGCUGGCCCCUAAGGCUCUAAGAUCCAAUGCCUCCAACCUCCAUGGCUCCUAUCAACAUAGGCUCCAGGCCUUCGCCACAACCAGGCCAUUUAUGGCUUCCCCAGGCUCCACACUGGUUAUUAUAGACUCGUAAGUGCCUGGAUAAACAAACCUGUACAUCUACACAGUGGAAUAUUAUUCAGCAAUAAAAGCAAUAAGCUUUGAAUGUGGCUUUUGUUG
rnacentral:lncRNA from 13 species